rnacentral:rRNA from 1 species
CCUACGGGAGGCAGCAGUAAGGAAUAUUGGUCAAUGGACGCAAGUCUGAACCAGCCAUGCCGCGUGGAGGAUGAAGGCCCUCUGGGUUGUAAACUUCUUUUAUCUGGGACGAAAAAAGGUUUUUCUAAAUCGUCUGACGGUACCAGAUGAAUAAGCACCGGCUAACUCCGUGCCAGCAGCCGCGGUAAUACGGAGGGUGCAAGCGUUAUCCGGAUUCACUGGGUUUAAAGGGUGCGUAGGCGGGCAGGUAAGUCAGUGGUGAAAUCCUUGAGCUUAACUCGAGAACUGCCAUUGAUACUAUCUGUCUUGAAUAUUGUGGAGGUGAGCGGAAUAUGUCAUGUAGCGGUGAAAUGCUUAGAUAUGACAUAGAACACCCAUUGCGAAGGCAGCUCACUACGCAUAUAUUGACGCUGAUGCACGAAGACGUGGGGUAGUACAACAGGAGUAGUAUACCGUACGGUACGUACCGACCGACCCGUAACCGUACUAGUAUUACUACGAC